rnacentral:rRNA from 1 species
UAGGGAAUAUUGGUUAAUGUGCGAAAGCGCGAACCAGCAACGCCGCGUGUGCGAUGAAGGCCUUCGGGUCGUAAAGCACUUUUUGCAGGGACGAGGAAGGACGGUACCUGCAGAAUAAGUCUCGGCUAACUACGUGCCAGCAGCCGCGGUAAAACGUAGGAGACGAGCGUUAUCCGAAUUUACUGGGCGUAAAGCGCGUGCAGGCGGCAUGGCAAGUUGGAUGUGAAAGCUCCCGGCUUAACUGGGAGAGGUCGUUCAAUACUGCCAGGCUUGAGAGUGCUAGAGGGAAGCGGAAUUCCGGGUGUAGUGGUGAAAUGCGUAGAUAUCCGGAGGAACACCAGUGGCGAAAGCGGCUUUCUGGCCCAUUUCUGACGCUCAGACGCGAAAGCUAGGGUAGCAAACGG